UACGAAGGGGGCUAGCGUUGCUCGGAAUCACUGGGCGUAAAGCGCACGUAGGCGGGUCGUUAAGUCAGGGGUGAAAUCCUGGAGCUCAACUCCAGAACUGCCCUUGAUACUGGCGAUCUCGAGUUCGGGAGAGGUGAGUGGAACUGCGAGUGUAGAGGUGAAAUUCGUAGAUAUUCGCAAGAACACCAGUGGCGAAGGCGGCUCACUGGCCCGAUACUGACGCUGAGGUGCGAAAGCGUGGGGAGCAAACAGG
rnacentral:rRNA from 1 species